UACAGAGACUGCAAGCGUUAUUCGGAUUCACUGGGCGUAAAGGGUGCGCAGGCGGCCAAGUGUGUGAGGCGUGAAAGCCUGGAGCUUAACUCCAGAAAUUGCACCUCAAACUACUUGGCUAGAGACAUUGGAGAGGGUAGCAGAAUUCAUGGUGUAGCAGUGAAAUGCGUAGAUAUCGUAAGGAAGACCAGUGGCGAAGGCGGGUCUCUGGACAGUUCCGUGACGCUGAGGCACGAAGGCCAGGGGAGCAAACGGG
rnacentral:rRNA from 1 species